CACUCCUCCUCUAGGACAGCUCCAGCCGGCACAGGGUGAAAGAAGUCCUGCUUCAAGAAUCCUGAGCAAACCUGCCAUUUGUUAAAACCAGGUGACUGGGUCUACAUAAAGGUCCAUCAACAAAAGACUACUCUGGCCCCAUACUGGAAAGGCCCUUAAGUCCUGCUAACUACCAACACCGCUGUGAAGUGCCAAGGACUGACUGCCUGGACCCAUGCUUCUUACUGCAAAAAGACCCCUCCACCUUGAGAGGGCUUCACUUUGACUACUGAUCAGCCUGUCCCUCCUUCUGGGUUUUUUUCUUUCCUCCUUUUGGACAGCAGGGAAAAGGACAAGGUGAAGUGCUAGUAACCUCUCCCUUGUCCACUGACAGAGCUAACCUGCAUUCAGUAUUUGCUAAAGAAACCAAAGCACUACAGCGUGACGUGCUAGUAACCUCUCCCCUGUAUGAUGCAAAACCAUGACUGUUCCAAGA